AGCAGUAGCCGCGGUAAUACGUAGGUGGCAAGCGUUGUCCGGAAUUAUUGGGCGUAAAGCGCGCGCAGGCGGCUUCCCAAGUCCCUCUUAAAAGUGCGGGGCUUAACCCCGUGAUGGGAAGGAAACUGGGAAGCUGGAGUAUCGGAGAGGAAAGUGGAAUUCCUAGUGUAGCGGUGAAAUGCGUAGAGAUUAGGAAGAACACCGGUGGCGAAGGCGACUUUCUGGGCGAAAACUGACGCUGAGGCGCGAAAGCGUGGGGAGCAAACAGGAUUAGAUACCCGGGUAGUCCCUGUCUCUUAUACA
rnacentral:rRNA from 1 species